rnacentral:hammerhead_ribozyme from 1 species
AUCCAACUGACUAGUCCCAAAUAGGACGAAACGCGCGUCCUGGAU